rnacentral:rRNA from 1 species
GAUGAACGCUAGCGACAGGCCUAACACAUGCAAGUCGAGGGGUAACAGGGAGCUUGCUCCGCUGACGACCGGCGCACGGGUGAGUAACACGUAUGCAACCUACCCUAUGCAGGGGAAUAACCACGGGAAACCGUGCCUAAUACCGCGUAACGCACUGAUUGGGCAUCCGAUUGGUGUCAAAGGAGCAAUCCGGCAUAGGAUGGGCAUGCGGCGCAUUAGCUAGUUGGCGGGGUAACGGCCCACCAAGGCGACGAUGCGUAGGGGUUCUGAGAGGAAGGUCCCCCACACUGGUACUGAGACACGGACCAGACUCCUACGGGAGGCAGCAGUGAGGAAUAUUGGUCAAUGGGCGGGAGCCUGAACCAGCCAAGUCGCGUGAGGGAAGACGGCCCUACGGGUUGUAAACCUCUUUUGUCGGGGAAUAAACUGCGCCACGCGUGGCGCCCUGCAUGUACCCGCAGAAUAAGGACCGGCUAAUUCCGUG